UCCAAGGCUGUAUGAAUUGUCAAAUUUGAUCCAUAGAACCAUAACCUCAAAAAUAUUUGUGUGUAAAUCUCGUAGGCGACGUUGCCAUAUUUGUAUGAAAUAUCACGUAGGCGAUGUUGAUAUGGAUAAAAUCAUCGUGGUUCGGGUUGUCGAAGUUCGUGUUUACAGCUAUUUGGAACAAACCUAUAGCGUUCGGGGAAAACUG